UCGAAUCUCGGACCUUUCUCUUCGUCUUCUCCGUCGUCUUCGUUUCAUGCGUUUACAAUUGAUCGUAACCCACAGGCCAUUUGCUUUUGGAAUCUAUGUUUGGAGGUGUAUUUUCUGUGCCUGUGAAUAAUCCUCACUUGCGCAAAUCUGGAAGUAUAAUCAUGAGACGAAGGCUUGCACUGCGACUUCGCGUGCCUGAUCUAUACCCUCCUGAGGAUGAAGCUCACGGAGGAGCGCGUGAAGUCGAUUGUCUGCGACGCGGUCGAGAUCGAGAGGGAGUUUGUGUGCGACUCGCUUCCGUGUGCGUUGGUGUGGAUGACCCGUGAGCUGAUGAGUCAGUAUAUCGAGUCCGUGGUGGAUAGGCUUUUGGGUGUGCUUGGGUACGGGAAGGUGUACGGUGUGGCGAAUCCGUUUGAUUGGAUGGAGUUGAUUUCGCUUCAGGGAAAACGAACUUCUUCGAGAAGAGAGUUAGUGACUACCAGAAAGCUUCUGUUAUGUCUAGCUUCCGUUUGAUAAUCAUUGAAACUCAUGGCUAGGUACUAUUGCCAAAUUGUGAAGCCCUUUUAGUCCUUAGCAGCCUCAAGGUUGCUCUGUAUGUUGGUGGUCUUUAUAUUUGUGGAAAGGUUGGAUGGGAAUCUGUAAUGAAAAUGGGACAAGACACACGAGAACUGUUCUUCUAUGAAACAUUUCUAUAUUACAACCCUCUCCUUCUCAUUACAAUGAUGGUUUGGCUCUGGGGUGUUAAUCUAUGGGUGUUUUCUCGAACUGGAGUCGAUUACGCAGCAAUAUUUUAUCUAGGACCAGAUCAUCAUAGUCACAAAGAGAUAUGGAAGUGUGCUAGGUGGAUGACGACGAUAAUAUUAACUAGCAUGACUGCGUAUCUGUAUCUAUACUCCCAUGGAGAUGUGUCCUUGGCUGCUUCUCAACCAGUAUUGUUUUGUAUCUCUCUGUUGUGAUCAUUCCCAUCACCCCUUUCGAUAUCUUCUACAAGGUAGGUUGAUCUCGACGAAAAAACAUUUCGAUCCAAGUGAUUGCUCCUGCAGCAGAAAACGUUGAGGUACCAACCAAGACAGUGGAGAAAACCGUUGUGGUUACCGAACAGGCGGAAGGGGGAUAGGCCGCGAUAGAGUAUGCUCCAGCUCCAGUCGCCGUAACUGAACAAUCCGAAGCACCAGUCGAAGGAACGAGCAAGGAAGUGGUUGUGGAAGAGGCAGAGAAAAAAGAUGAAGAAACUGAGAAGAAACCAGAGGAGCCAAAGGUAGAGGAGGAAGAAGACAAGACAGAAACUCCGGUCGUUGUGGAGGAGGCAAAAACAUAAGAGAAGGAGGAGGUGACUGAAACUCCGGCGGUUGUGGAGGAGGAGAAGAAGGCUGAGGCAGAGGAAGUUGUGGCUGUUGGUGAAGUCGCCGCUGAGAAGACCGAGGAGUAAAGCGGAAGAAACUAUAUAUGCACCUUCGGUGUCAUUUCGUUAUCUUAUUAAAAUAUUUAUUUUAUCAACAUUUUAUAAGUUUCUAUGUUCUGUUGUGUUUAUUAUGAUGAACUCAGAUGUUUGGAUAAUUUGAUGGUUGCUAUAUUGCUUA